ACGUCCACAUUAUGUUGAAACAUCGGUUCUCGUACGAUCAGCGAAAUUAAGCAACGCCGAGCCUGGUCAAUACCUAGAUGGGUGACCGUUUGGGAUUAUCAGGUGCUGUAAG